UAAUAUAAAGAAAAGUGCCGGCAGUUUAUCCUCACGGCUGAGAGAUGAAUUCUCUGAGCUUGAGGACAGUGAAGAAGACUUCAGCCUGAUCGGAAUUGUUCAUUUCCUUUAUAUUUUAAAUAUCUGGAGCAAAAUGAGGAAAAAUUAAUUUGGGUGGGUAGAUGUGGGUGUUUGUUUUUAAUUCACUGCAAAAAGAAAAAAAAAAUGAGCUAUCAACUAGCCCCAGUUCCCUUCUUGUCAAUGCAGAGCUGGUUUCCCUGUCUCUUGGCUCCAAGUCCAAACUCCCGUGCUUUGCUCUGUGGCCCUGGGACUGGGAUUGGCAAGCACCAGCCCCAGGCCAUGGGCGUCUGACUGCUCUUUGCUGCUGCCAGUGGGGGACUGGGAGGCACAGUGGGGACAAGGGACUGCAGAGCUCUUUGACGGCCUUGGCGCAUUACCCCAGCACAGUCACCCCCCACAGGGGCACCCACAGGGCCAGGGGCUGAGCCCGGCUGCUGGGAGUCGCUGUUCCAGCUCUGCAGAGCAAGAUUCAGCACCAGCCCACAGGCACUCCUCUGAGCUCUUCUGAGCUCCAGCAGCCUAGGGAACACACUGCCUCGGCAGCUACAGCGUCUGAGUCACCUCACCUCCCUCCGUCUGCCGCCUCAACCUCCAACACCAGACCCAGGUAAUCCAAGAGGACGGGCAUCCGAGGCCCGGCUCCACAGCUGGACACCAGGAGACCUGAGGGAGGCCAGGCCAGGCGUGGGAUGGUGCCGGGAGAGGCGCUGCAGCCUGCCCCAGUGGAACUGGUUCAGGGAACCCUGAGAGGACAACCACUCCCUGAAAGCUUCUGGACUGGGUGCCCCGUGUCCUGUCUGCGCGGUGCGGGUGGAGAUGCUGCGAGGGUGAAGUGGAAUCAUGGCUGGUACACAUUCUGCAAACUGAAUUAUUAUGCAUUAACUGAGGACCAACCCCAUGACAGCUUGCCCUCUUCUGCCCGUGGAAAGAUGUCAGGACUCACACAGGGACACGUCCUGUCUUGCGUCUGCCACUGCUCCCUGGGUCACCCGGGUCCUCUGACAAGGCCCCUGUGUGUGACUGGAUCAGAACCACAUCCGGAACCACGUCCGCCAGCUCCCCUGCUGUGUGUCUCGGUGGGGGGAGGUAGCAUGUGCGGCCCGUGCCUGGGCCCACACAAGGUCAGUACCCACGUGGGCCCCGGGCUGCCACAGUGGACAGAGCAGGUUCAGCCUGUGUGA
rnacentral:lncRNA from 1 species